AUCGCUUACUUGCACGUGAUGGGCGGUUAGUUCGAGUUAAUUUAUGUGAAGUGGUGGCCGCUGAAGCUAAAGGCAGAAGGUUUCUUGUGUAUCUGAGCUUUACAAGUUCCGAAGCUAUCUCUGCUGGAAAAGUUUAGAAAAUAGCCGAGUAUGCUGCAGCUAAUGCAAAAUAUAAGGCAAAAAAAGUGCUAGAAAAUAUCGGGUUAAGAAGUGCGAUGUUAAAAGAGCAGUUGAAUGAGAGAGCAAAAUAGCGACCUAACUCCCGCGUUGGAAAUAAACAGAUAUAAUGACUUUUUUGACAAAUAUAUACAUAUAUAUUUUUUUACAAUAAUCAAGAAUUUUUUUGUCAGUAGCUCGCGAGAAAAUCGAACAUAGCUAGACAAUUACACACGACAUAAUUAUGUACACAUGGGCACAUACAUGCAUGGACACACAACCCCCACCCUAUAGUCCCACUGCCUACUAGAAAUACUGUUGCUGUACUGAACGAAGCUCUUCGCAGAAGACCUAAGUACCUAACAGAUCGCCGCACUAUCAACAGAGCUUAGCAGCAUUACUUACAUAGCGGUGCGACAUACGACGAUGCUCUCCGCAUGGGGAAAAAUACCAUUCAAGCGAAGCAAUGGCUUGAAAAAUGUUUUGGGGACCCCGCUCCAUCAGAAACAACAAUAAAAGGAUGGCUUGCUGACUUCAAAAUUGGUCGUAGAUACACCGAUGAUGCACAACGCAGCGCAGUGGAAGUCCAAACGGGGCGGUAACACCAGAAAACAUCAA